AAUCGUGCAGGUCAAGCGCAAUAAGGGGCGGAUGAAUUGCACGGAGGUGGUUGGGGUUUUCUGAACAACCGGCAGUUUCAAUUGCUGAUCUGACUAGUCUAUAUGAUCUAUUAAAAUCUGUUGCAUUGGAGUGAGCCCGAACUUGGGCCCGCAGUAUACUUGUAAAAGAUGCAUUCCCUUGCCUCCAGGCAAGCGGCGUUUGGAGCUGCAGCAACAGCCUCGAAGACGAGAGAACCUAGACUGCGAGUUGUGCCUCUUAUUUUGUGGAUCAUUUGGAGAAAUACACUCAAAGCAAGAUACUAAUUGAUAUUGGGAGAGAGACAUAUUCUCAUCUCGGCUUUCAAGAAAGUGGCAUUCUUGAGCCCUCUGAAGGACAGU